AAUAUCUUGUCUGUUUCAGCGAGUGUGCAGUCAUGGAAACAGAAUUCAACAUUUCCGGUGGAAUUACAUUUGACACCACAAGAGGGGGAACGCCUUUGCUUGAUGCUUUCAGGAAAGAAAGGCAGACAGCAGUUUUAUGACCUGCUCAGAACAUAAUCAGACCGGUAUCUGUGUUCUUGCCCAUACCAGAAGUCCUGAGAAGGACAGGCUUAGGUCCAGCGAAGAGUGGCAGCUGCAUGUUCUGAAUAAUGCUUUAAAAGAGCCUGCUGCAAAUUCAAAUGAAGUCAGAGUUCAAACAUUCCUCUUUCCUUACAGGAUUGCCCUCAUAUCUGUUGCAGAAAACAGAGUUUAUCAUCCUGGCUGUUUCCAGUACGUAAUAGCAUAUACGAGUACCUAAAUCAAAAGGAUUAUGAACACCCUUUUCAGAACUUCCACAUUAAGCAUGAAUAAUAAGCUAAUAAUAUCUAAUAAUAAAUCAGCUAUUUUACGAAAAUGGAAAAAAAAAAAAAAGGAGUCCCCCACCCUCAUAUUUCCCAUUUUUCUUCUUUAUUUUUUUCUCAGAUAAAUUUGUGAAAUCUACAAGUCCCUCUGAUAUUUAGUAGUGAAGAGCUACUUAUAAAGACACCCUUCGGAAAAUACAGCGCUUAGGUCAAAUCAGUUGCCAGUUUACCUCCUGCCAGUAUGAUGCAAGAAUUUCACUGUACAACAAACUUUCAGAGACCAUCGGACCACUGUCUGAGUCUGACCAGCCUUAGAUGUUGCUGUAAACCUCCUCUUUUGGUGGGUCCCAGGAGCAGCAAAGAAUGAGGAAAUAAAACCUCUCUAGAUUAAAAAGAAUACAGAUUUUUAUUCUGUUCAGCAAA